CAGCAGCCGCGGUAAUACAGAGGGUGCGAGCGUUAAUCGGAUUUACUGGGCGUAAAGCGUGCGUAGGCGGCUUUUUAAGUCGGAUGUGAAAUCCCUGAGCUUAACUUAGGAAUUGCAUUCGAUACUGGGAAGCUAGAGUAUGGGAGAGGAUGGUAGAAUUCCAGGUGUAGCGGUGAAAUGCGUAGAGAUCUGGAGGAAUACCGAUGGCGAAGGCAGCCAUCUGGCCUAAUACUGACGCUGAGGUACGAAAGCAUGGGGAGCAAACAGGAUUAGAUACCCCUGUAGUCCCUGUCUUUUAUAC
rnacentral:rRNA from 1 species